GAUCCUGGCUCAGGAUGAACGCUAGCUACAGGCUUAACACAUGCAAGUCGAGGGGCAGCAUGGUCUUAGCUUGCUAAGGCCGAUGGCGACCGGCGCACGGGUGAGUAACACGUAUCCAACCUGCCGUCUACUCUUGGACAGCCUUCUGAAAGGAAGAUUAAUACAAGAUGGCAUCAUGAGUCCGCAUGUUCACAUGAUUAAGGUAAGUUACCGGUUACGGUACGGAA
rnacentral:rRNA from 1 species